GUUAUGUUUUUAUACUCGUCAUCUAUUUUUGGAGUAUUUUUACCAACAACAUGGAAAACAGCACUAUCUUAUGCAUUUGUUUUACUGCUGAUAGCUGGAUUGCUAUGUAAAUUGUUUAACCUUGUCGUAAUUAAAAAGAAGAGUUGGAAGCUGAUAUUUGUCUCCGUCAAAGAUUGGGGUCCAUUUGAUUUGUCUUUAAGGUUAUUAAGAAAAAAAUAUGAUUCCUCAAAAUAUGUUCAGUCACAAGCGCCAAGAGACCUGAGUAGAUAUUUAAUCCAAAAAGCUGAACCGAAUUCAUAUAAGCUCGACCUGCGAUAUGGGCUACCCCCGAAAUCAAUGUUGUAUGUACGUCCAGGAAACGGUA